GGACGGAUGGGGACGAAGCUUGCGGCUAACAGGUUUCUUUUCUUUUGCCACCUGGUAAGUGCUCCUGCACUCCUCCUCUUCCCCUUCCUCGCUGAACCACAGGCGUGCCCUCCCGUAGCUCGAGAGCCUCUGGUGCCCUAGCACGUCUGCACGCGAGCAGCCGUUCCACGAGCAGCAUCGACGGUGCGGGAGCUGCCUAAGCAAGCAGCGGGCGCACGCCCGGGUCCUGCAGAUCUCACCGAGUGCCACGGACGGCAUCACAUCUCGUGCCGUUCCUGCGUGGCUGCAAUUCGCUUGUGGCUCUUUGCCGUUGCGGGGGCGGGACGGUGCUCGCGAGGUGUUCGGGGCAUUGCACGAGUCGAGCAGAGCAGAUCUGCUGCAUUGGCACGGACGCAGGGGCAUUGGUGCGAGAUAGAAGUAUCCCAGGUCGCAGUUCCCACUGGCGGCAUAUCCUGCUCCAAACCAAUUCCUAGUUGAUGCUGGAGGUGGUUGAUCGCUCUUGCAGCUUCAGAAGAAAGAUUGGUCGAAUCAGAAAGGAUAUCUGCAGAAAACGACUGCACCUUGAAUCUCUGUAGCUCAAUAUUUGUGUUGUCGUUGCAUUUAGGAGCCAGAGAAGAAUCAUGGGUCAAAGAUCCUGUCAUGAGAUUGUGAUCAUGGGAACCUUCAAAAUAGUCACCUCCAACAAUCAUUUUGACGAAACAGUGCCUGGCACCUUCAAUCCAAAUCUAGAACCAACACAAUAUGAAAACGGAUGAGCACAGAAAGAAAUGCAUUGAAGAACAGGAUUUUGACACAGAAUCAAAUGCAAGAGGAAAUCGAAUAACAAAUACAGCAGCCUCUUAGAUAUGGACUGAUCUUGAGCUGAAAUAUAAAUGGUAAUUACUUGCAGUGCACUUACUAAUGGGAAAAAAUGACUCAACAGGAAUGCAGCAGCAGCAGAUAGAAUUCGAUCGGAUGUGGAAAUUGCAGUUGGCCUGGCUGUUUUGGUUGUUGCAAAAGAGGUAGAGCCGUGGAGUUUUAAGCUAUGCAAUGUGGCUGUCUGUUCUUCCGUGUAGAGAAGUCCCAUAUAGGAUGAUUAAUAAGACAUGAAGCAACUUUGCUUGUUCCAGACCUAACAAACCCCUUACCAUCUUUUUCUGUUCCCUAAUCCUAUUCAUAUUGAUGUUUGAUACAAUGUGCUUCAACUACCACAUGCUCAGUAGGCAAUCAGCAAAAUGUUUAGUAGCACAGAAUAAUUUGUAAUGGUAAUACAACUCAGUAAGUGCAAGAUGAUCAGUAAAAUGAAGCACAUGAAAUCCAUGGUGGCUGAAUCUUU